rnacentral:rRNA from 1 species
AUGAACGCUGGCGGCGUGCCUAAUCCCUGCAAGUCGAGCGAACAGAUGAGGAGCUUGCUCCUCUGACGUUAGCGGCGGACGGGUGAGUAACACGUGGAUAACCUACCUAUAAGUCUGGGAUAACUUCGGGAAACCGGAGCUAAUACCGGAUAAUAUAUUGAACCGCAUGGUUCAAUAGUGAAAGACGGUUUUGCUGUCACUUAUAGAUGGAUCCGCGCCGCAUUAGCUAGUUGGUAAGGUAACGGCUUACCAAGGCAACGAUGCGUAGCCGACCUGAGAGGGUGAUCGGCCACACUGGAACUGAGACACGGUCCAGACUCCUACGGGAGGCAGCAGUAGGGAAUCUUCCGCAAUGGGCGAAAGCCUGACGGAGCAACGCCGCGUGAGUGAUGAAGGUCUUCGGAUCGUAAAACUCUGUUAUUAGGGAAGAACAAAUGUGUAAGUAACUAUGCACGUCUUGACGGUACCUAAUCAGAAAGCCACGGCUAACUACGUG